rnacentral:rRNA from 1 species
ACGGGAGGCAGCAGUGGGGAAUAUUGCACAAUGGGCGCAAGCCUGAUGCAGCGAUGCCGCGUGAGGGAAGAAGGUUUUCGGAUUGUAAACCUCUGUCAACAGGGACGAAAAUGACGGUACCUGUGAAGGAAGCUCCGGCUAACUACGUGCCAGCAGCCGCGGUAAUACGUAGGGAGCAAGCGUUAUCCGGAAUUACUGGGUGUAAAGGGAGUGUAGGCGGGACUGUAAGUCAGAUGUGAAAUAUGCCGGCUCAACUGGCAGACUGCAUUUGAAACUGCGGUUCUUGAGUGAAGUAGAGGUAAGCGGAAUUCCUAGUGUAGCGGUGAAAUGCGUAGAGAUCAGGAAGAACACCGAUGGCGAAGGCAGCUUGCUGGGGACUUAUCGACGCUCAUGCUCGAAAGUGCGGGUAGCAAACAGGAUUAGAUACCCUGGUA